UCACCGGGCUGCAAUCCUUGUCA
rnacentral:miRNA from 1 species